rnacentral:lncRNA from 1 species
AAGAGGAGAUAAAGCCUCUCAAGCAAAUGAACUUACAAGCAACCCCAAAAUGAUAUACAAAACAUCUGAAAUACCUGAGGGUAUUAAUAGAAAAACUUAAUUAAAAAAGGGUUAAGAAACUAACAUUGAUAAAAGAAAUAACUAAAUAAAGCAUUAUAACCAUACUCAUAUUGAAAGCAUCCCAUAUGGAAGUUAGACGGCCGAUCCAUUGCAUCAGAAGUCAAUUCCAUUUUUGUAACCACC